AUUGAACGCUAGCGGCAUGCUUUACACAUGCAAGUCGAACGAGUGGCGGACGGGUGAGUAAUAUAUCGGAAAGUGCCCAGUAGCGGGGGAUAACUACUCGAAAGUGUGGCUACUACCGCAUACUAUUGGAGCGGCCGAUGUUGGAUUAGAUUGGUGGGGGGGUAAAGGCGCACCAAGGCAACGAUCCCUCGCUGGUUUGAGAGGACGACCAGCCACACGGGGACGGAGACACGGCCCAGACUCCUACGGGAGGCAGCAGUGGGGAAUUUUGGACAAGGGGGGAAACCCUGAUCCAGCCAUCCCGCGUGUAUGAGAAGGCCUUCGGGUUGUAAAGUACUUUUGGCAGAGAAGCGGUACCUGCAGAAUAAGCACCGGCUAACUACGUGCCAGCAGCCGCGGUAAUAC
rnacentral:rRNA from 1 species